rnacentral:rRNA from 1 species
GUCGGCCCGCGGAAUUCAGCUCGGAAGGCCGGCGCGAGCGGCGGGCAAGAGAUCUGAUGGGACUCUCCCGUCGUUCGACCGCUGGUCGGCCGUGUGCACUUUCCGCGGGCAGAGCGCCACGACCGGUUCCCGGGCGGUCAGAAGGCGGCGAGGAAGGUAGGUGGUUGCUUCGGCGGCCACUGUUACAGCCUCGCCUGUCCCGAUCCGCCGGGGGACCGAGGAGCCGCCGUCGGUCGCGGCCACUCCGCUCUCUCGGGGAGUUCGACUGGCAGAGACUGGGCAACCGUGUCUGCCGACCGCUCUCUGGGAUGGUCGGAGCGGGCCUGGCCGGCACAGGGUCGGUGGCGAAUCGGUCGGCCCUCCACCCGACCCGUCUUGAAACACGGACCAAGGAGUCUAACAUGCGCGCGAGUCGUUGGGUAGUACRAAACCCGAAGGCGAAGUGAAAGCGAGGGCGCGCCUCUGGUGCGCUCAGGUGGGAUCCCGCUCCUCACGGGGAGUGGGCGCACCGCCGGCCCGUCUCGUCCGCGCUGUCGGUGAGGCGGAGCAAGAGCGUGCAC